UACGUAGGGGGCGAGCGUUGUCCGGAGUUACUGGGCGUAAAGCGCACGCAGGCGGUCUGCUAAGUUUGGAGUGACAGUUGGUGGCUUAACUGCCAAAGUGCUUCGAAAACUGACAGACUUGAGGGCUUCAGAGGGACACGGAAUUCCGGGUGGAGUGGUGAAAUGCGUAGAGAUCCGGAGGAACCCCAGAGGCGAAGGCGGCGUCCUGGCUCGCAUCUGACGCUCAGACACGACAGCAUGGGGAGCGAACGGG
rnacentral:rRNA from 1 species